CAGCGGAGGGAUCAUUACAGAGUUGCAAAACUCCCUAAACCAUUGUGAACGUUACCUAUACCGUUGCUUCGGCGGGCGGCCCCGGGGUUUACCCCCCGGGCGCCCCUGGGCCCCACCGCGGGCGCCCGCCGGAGGUCACCAAACUCUUGAUAAUUUAUGGCCUCUCUGAGUCUUCUGUACUGAAUAAGUCAAAACUUUCAACAACGGAUCUCUUGGUUCUGGCAUCGAUGAAGAACGCAGCGAAAUGCGAUAAGUAAUGUGAAUUGCAGAAUUCAGUGAAUCAUCGAAUCUUUGAACGCACAUUGCGCCCGCCAGCAUUCUGGCGGGCAUGCCUGUUCGAGCGUCAUUUCAACCAUCAAGCCCCCGGGCUUGUGUUGGGGACCUGCGGCUGCCGCAGGCCCUGAAAAGCAGUGGCGGGCUCGCUGUCGCACCGAGCGUAGUAGCAUACAUCUCGCUCUGGUCGCGCCGCGGGUUCCGGCCGUUAAACCACCUUUUAACCCAAGGUUGACCUCGGAUCAGGUAGGAAGACCCGCUGAACUUAAGCAUAUCAAU
rnacentral:rRNA from 1 species